rnacentral:other from 12 species
ACGAUUAUAAAUCAACAUAUUGAUUUAUAAGCAUGGAAAUCCCCUGAGUGAAACAACGAAUUGCUGUGUGUAGUCUUUGCCCAUCUCCCACGAUGGGCUUUUUUUUAA